AGCGUUGGGGAACUAGACGGCGAAACGGAACAGCCGAGGUCGAAUUACGUUCAGAAAUAUUUUGGAUAAAUUUAAACUGUUAAAAAUGUAUCAGGAAAUUACAAGCGUUUUAUUGUUACUAUUAGCUGUUGGUUUGUCACAGGCACAGUACAGAUGGUAUCGACCAGCCAACUUUCGACCGUUUCAUAAUCAGUUUCCUCCCGUGUACCAACACAACAUUCCUCAAAGAAACUUUGGUUUUGGUCAGACGAACGGUCGAUUUAUGGGAUUCCAGGCACCACUGUUUGGUCAUCACAAUGAAAACGGCCAGGAUGUUCCGGAUUUCCACGCUUCUAUCGGUCAACAAGAGCUGAACACUAACAGGCAAGAUACCAAAUUUAACAUGCCACGCCCCACUAAUUACCCCGGUGAUGGAAAACCUGUUAAUCAAGGCUUCCAAGCCGCUGCUAAUCAGCAAAACCCAACCAUACGUUUGUCAGAUACGACAGAAAAGAUGAAAGUUGCCACUAUCCCAGCAGAUGUGUGUUCGUAUGUGGUUUGUCCUAAAGGCACAUUAUGUUCAUCUCAUCCAAGUCAAUGUACCAAUCCGCCGUGUCCUAAAUAUGCUGCUUGUGAAAAAAUAAAAGCUAUCGAAUC